UACGAAGGGGGCGAGCGUUGUUCGGAUUUACUGGGCGUAAAGGGCGCGCAGGCGGCGCAUUUUGUCAGGCGUGAAAGCCCCGGGCUUAACCUGGGAACUGCGUUUGAUACGGAUGGGCUAGAGUUCGGGAGAGGAGAGUGGAAUUCCCAGUGUAGAGGUGAAAUUCGUAGAUAUUGGGAAGAACACCGGUGGCGAAGGCGGCUCUCUGGACCGAGACUGACACUGAGACACGAAGGCCAGGGGAGCAAACGGG
rnacentral:rRNA from 1 species